UAGGGAAUCUUCGGCAAUGGACGAAAGUCUGACCGAGCAACGCCGCGUGAGUGAAGAAGGUUUUCGGAUCGUAAAACUCUGUUGUUAGAGAAGAACAAGGACGUUAGUAACUGAACGUCCCCUGACGGUAUCUAACCAGAAAGCCACGGCUAACUACGUGCCAGCAGCCGCGGUAAUACGUAGGUGGCAAGCGUUGUCCGGAUUUAUUGGUCGUAAAGCGAGCGCAGGCGGUUUCUUAAGUCUGAUGUGAAAGCCCCCGGCUCAACCGGGGAGGGUCAUUGGAAACUGGGAGACUUGAGUUCAGAAGAGGAGAGUGGAAUUCCAUGUGUAGCGGUGAAAUGCGUAGAUAUAUGGAGGAACACCAGUGGCGAAGGCGGCUCUCUGGUCUGUAACUGACGCUGAGGCUCGAAAGCGUGGGGAGCAAACAGG
rnacentral:rRNA from 1 species